GCGUGGAUUAUGUUGUUUAAUUCGACGCAACGCGAAGAACUUACCAGGCCUUGACAUACUCGGCAAAGCUCUAGAGAUAGAGUGGAGGUUAUCCGGGAUACAGGUGGUGCAUGGUUGUCGUCAGCUCGUGUCGUGAGAUGUUGGGUUAAGUCCCGCAACGAGCGCAACCCUUGUCUUUAGUUACCAUCAUUCAGUUGGGGACUCUAGAGAGACUGCCGGUGAUAAACCGGAGGAAGGUGGGGAUGACGUCAAAUCAUCAUGCCCCUUAUGACCUGGGCUACACACGUGCUACAAUGGGCGGUACAAAGGGCUGCGAACCCGCGAGGGGGAGCGAAUCCCAAAAAGCCGCUCUCAGUUCGGAUUGCAGGCUGCAACUCGCCUGCAUGAAGCCGGAAUCGCUAGUAAUCGCGGAUCAGCAUGCCGCGGUGAAUACGUUCCCGGGCCUU
rnacentral:rRNA from 1 species